GAUGAACGCUGGCGGCGUGCCUAAUACAUGCAAGUCGAGCGAACAGAUGAGGAGCUUGCUCCUCUGACGUUAGCGGCGGACGGGUGAGUAACACGUGGAUAACCUACCUAUAAGACUGGGAUAACUUCGGGAAACCGGAGCUAAUACCGGAUAAUAUAUUGAACCGCAUGGUUCAAUAGUUAAAGACGGUUUUGCUGUCACUUAUAGAUGGAUCCGCGCCGCAUUAGCUAGUUGGUAAGGUAACGGCUUACCAAGGCAACGAUGCGUAGCCGACCUGAGAGGGUGAUCGGCCACACUGGAACUGAGACACGGUCCAGACUCCUACGGGAGGCAGCAGUAGGGAAUCUUCCGCAAUGGGCGCAAGCCUGACGGAGCAACGCCGCGUGAGUGAUGAAGGUCUUCGGAUCGUAAAACUCUGUUAUUAGGAAAGAACAAAUGUGUAAGUAACUAUGCACGUCUUGACGGUACCUAAUCAGAAAGCCACGGCUAACUACGUG
rnacentral:rRNA from 1 species